CAUCACUGGCAAUUAACAGCCUCAAACAAAGUAGCAACUCCACUAGAAACCCCCACUUUUCACGCUGUUAACCUAACACCAGAGCAUUUCAAGAAAGAUUAAAAGAAAAAGAAGGAACUCGGCAAAUAUCUUAGCCCCGCCUGUUUACCAAAAACAUCGCCUCUUGCCAUACAUGAGAGGUCCAGCCUGCCCAGUGACUUUGUUCAACGGCCGCGGUAUCCUAACCGUGCGAAGGUAGCGUAAUCACUUGUCUUCUAAAUAGAGACUAGUAUGAAAGGCAUCACGAGGACUAAACUGUCUCCUCUCUCUAAUCAGUUAACCUAUUCCCCCCGUGAAGAAACGGGGAUUCUUCUAUAAGACGAGAAGACCCUAUGGAGCUUAAAACAUCAUGACACCUGCCGCCGACCUAAAUAUUCAGAUAUCCUACCCCCACGCACGCUAAUCAUAAGUUUUUGGUUGGGGUGACCGUGGAGGAAAACCCAUCCUCCAUGAUGAAGGGGGACUCCCCUAAACAAUAAGUCACAACUUUAUGUAUCAAAAAAUUGACAUCCUUUGACCCAACAAUUGACCAACGAACCAAGUUACCCUAGGGAUAACAGCGCAAUCCACUUCGAGAGCUCUUAUCGACAAGUGGGCUUACGACCUCGAUGUUGGAUCGGGGUG
rnacentral:rRNA from 1 species